rnacentral:rRNA from 1 species
GGAGGCAGCAGUGGGGAUAUGCGCAUGGCGAAAGCUGACGCAGCGACGCGCGUGGGGGAUGACGGCUUCGGGUUGUAAACCUCCUUCAGCAGGGACGAAGCGGAAGUGACGGUACCUGCAGAAGAAGCACCGGCCAACUACGUGCCAGCAGCCGCGGUAAUACGUAGGGUGCAAGCGUGUCCGGAAUUAUUGGGCGUAAAGAGCUCGUAGGCGGUCUGUCACGUCGGCUGUGAAAUCCCGAGACUCAACCUCGGGUCUGCAGUCGAUACGGGCAAACUAGAGUGUUGCAGGGGAGACUGGAAUUCCUGGUGUAGCGGUGAAAUGCGCAGAUAUCAGGAGGAACACCGGUGGCGAAGGCGGGUCUCUGGGCAACAACUGACGCUGAGGAGCGAAAGCGUGGGGAGCGAACAGGAUUAGAUACCCUGGUAGUCCACGCCGUAAACGUUGGGCGCUAGGUGUGGGGCUCAUUCCACGAGUUCCGUGCCGCAGCUAACGCAUUAAGCGCCCCGCCUGGGGAGUACGGCCGCAAGGCUAAAACUCAAAGGAAUUGACGGGGGCCCGCACAAGCGGCGGAGCAUGUUGCUUAAUUCGAUGCAACGCGAAGAACCUUACCUAGGCUUGACAUGCACGGAAAUCCUCCAGAGAUGGUGGGUCCGUAAGGGUCGUGCACAGGUGGUGCAUGGUUGUCGUCAGCUCGUGUCGUGAGAUGUUGGGUUAAGUCCCGCAACGAGCGCAACCCUCGUCCUAUGUUGCCAGCACGUGAUGGUGGGGACUCAUAGGAGACUGCCGGGGUCAACUCGGAGGAAGGUGGGGAUGACGUCAAAUCAUCAUGCCCCUUAUGUCUAGGGCUGCAAACAUGCUACAAUGGCCGGUACAAAGGGCUGCGAUACCGUGAGGUGGAGCGAAUCCCAAAAAGCCGGUCUCAGUUCGGAUUGGGGUCUGCAACUCGACCCCAUGAAGUUGGAGUCGCUAGUAAUCGCAGAUCAGCAAUGCCGCGGUGAAUACGUUCCCGGG